UACGAAGGGUGCAAGCGUUACUCGGAAUUACUGGGCGUAAAGCGUGCGUAGGUGGUGAGUUAAGUCUGUCGUGAAAGCCCCGGGCUCAACCUGGGAAUGGCGAUGGAUACUGGCUCGCUAGAGUGCGGUAGAGGAGAGUGGAAUUCCCGGUGUAGCAGUGAAAUGCGUAGAGAUCGGGAGGAACACCAGUGGCGAAGGCGGUUACCUGGAGCUUUGCUGACGCUGAUGCGCGAAAGCGUGGGGAGCGAUCCGG
rnacentral:rRNA from 1 species